UAAGAAGCCAAUUCUCCCAGGAGAGCUGAUGAGCCUCAGACUCAGACUCUUACCAUUCAAGCACCUACUAUGCAACUCAGUACUUUAGUAUAACAACCCAUUAGUUUGAAAUGAAGAAAA